CCCUUAACUAUUAAAAGUUUCGUUUUGGUUCCUUAACUUAUUUUUUGGUUUCGUUUUGGUCCCUUAACUCUAAUACAUUCAUUCUAACAUAAAGGACCAAAACAAAACCAAAAAAUAAGUUAAAGGACCAAAACAAAACUUUUAAUAGUUAAGGGACCAAAACGAAACCAAAAAGUAAGUUAAGGGACCAAAACAAAACUUUUAAUAGUUAAGGGA
rnacentral:pre_miRNA from 1 species